rnacentral:rRNA from 1 species
GAUGAACGCUGGCGGCGUGCCUAAUACAUGCAAGUCGAGCGAACAGACGAGGAGCUUGCUCCUCUGACGUUAGCGGCGGACGGGUGAGUAACACGUGGAUAACCUACCUAUAAGACUGGGAUAACUUCGGGAAACCGGAGCUAAUACCGGAUAAUAUAUUGAACCGCAUGGUUCAAUAGUGAAAGACGGUUUUGCUGUCACUUAUAGAUGGAUCCGCGCCGCAUUAACUAGUUGGUAAGGUAACGGCUUACCAAGGCAACGAUGCGUAGCCGACCUGAGGGGGUGAUCGGCCACACUGGAACUGAGACACGGUCCAGACUCCUACGGGAGGCAGCAGUAGGGAAUCUUCCGCAAUGGGCGAAAGCCUGACGGAGCAACGCCGCGUGAGUGAUGAAGGUCUUCGGAUCGUAAAACUCUGUUAUUAGGGAAGAACAAAUGUGUAAGUAACUAUGCACGUCUUGACGGUACCUAAUCAGAAAGCCACGGCUAACUACGUG